rnacentral:rRNA from 1 species
AACGUAGGACGCAAGCGUUAUCCGGAGUUACUGGGCGUAAAGGGCGUGUAGGCGGCUUCGCAAGUGGCUCGUGAAAGACUUCGGCUCAACCGGGGGUGGACGGGUCAGACUGCGGAGCUGGAGGAUGUCAGAAGGACACGGAAUUCCGGGUGUAGUGGUGAAAUGCGUAGAGAUCCGGAGGAACACCAGUGGCGCAGGCGGUGUCCUGGGGCGUACCUGACGCUGAGACGCGAAAGCAUGGGGAGCGAACGGG